UACGAGGGGUGCAAACGUUAUUCGGAAUCACUGGGCGUAAAGGGUGUGUAGACGGCGAAACAAGUCAGUUAUAAAAUCUCUUGGCUUAACCAAGAACCUGUAACCGAAACUGUUUUGCUUGAGGAUGGAAGAGAGAAGCGGAAUUCUCGGAGUAGCGGUAAAAUGCGUAGAUCUCGAGAGGAACACCGAUGGCGAAGGCAGCUUCUUGGUCCAUUUCUGACGUUGAGACACGAAGGCGUGGGGAGCAAACAGG
rnacentral:rRNA from 1 species